rnacentral:rRNA from 1 species
AUUGAACGCUGGCGGCAUGCCUUACACAUGCAAGUCGAACGGUAACAGGUCUUCGGAUGCUGACGAGUGGCGAACGGGUGAGUAAUACAUCGGAACGUGCCCGAUCGUGGGGGAUAACGAAGCGAAAGCUUUGCUAAUACCGCAUACGAUCUACGGAUGAAAGCAGGGGACCGCAAGGCCUUGCGCGAACGGAGCGGCCGAUGGCAGAUUAGGUAGUUGGUGGGAUAAAAGCUUACCAAGCCGACGAUCUGUAGCUGGUCUGAGAGGACGACCAGCCACACUGGGACUGAGGCACGGCCCAGACGCCUACGGGAGGCAGCAGUGGGGAAUGUUGGACAAUGGGCGAAAGCCUGAUCCAGCCAUGCCGCGUGCAGGAUGAAGGCCUUCGGGUUGUAAACUGCUUUUGUACGGAACGAAAAGACUCUGGUUAAUACCUGGGGUCCAUGACGGUACCGUAAGAAUAAGCACCGGCUAACUACGUGCCAGCCGCCGCAGUAA